UGGGGAAUAUUGGACAAUGGGGGGGACCCUGAUCCAGCCAUGCCGCGUGUGUGAAGAAGGCCUUAUGGUUGUAAAGCACUUUAAGCGAGGAGGAGGCUACUCUAGUUAAUACCUUGCUGUUUUGACGUUACCGACAGAAUAAGCACCGGCUAACUCUGUGCCCG
rnacentral:rRNA from 1 species